GUGCCUCAGGAAUGAAUGGGUCCAUAAAAUAAUUCAAAUUCAUCCAUCUGCUCAGCGCUCACUUUGUCAGCUGUGUAUUUUUGUGUUACUUGUUGAUAGUUAAACGAUGGAAAACCU